rnacentral:rRNA from 1 species
GUGCCAGCCGCGGCGGUAAUACGAAGGGUGCAAGCGUUACUCGGAAUUACUGGGCGUAAAGCGUGCGUAGGUGGUGGUUUAAGUCUGCUGUGAAAGCCCUGGGCUCAACCUGGGAAUUGCAGUGGAUACUGGGUCACUAGAGUGCGGUAGAGGGGUGUGGAAUUUCCGGUGUAGCAGUGAAAUGCGUAGAGAUCGGAAGGAACAUCUGUGGCGAAGGCGACACCCUGGGCCAGCACUGACACUGAGGCACGAAAGCGUGGGAGCAAACAGGAUUAGAUACCCUGGUAAGUCCACGCCCUAAACGAUGCGAACUGGAUGUUGGGUUCAACUUGGAACCCAGUAUCGAAGCUAACGCGUU